rnacentral:rRNA from 1 species
GACGAACGCUGGCGGCGGGCUUAACACAUGCAAGUCGAACGAAGUGGCGAACGGGUAAGUAAUACGUGGGUAACCGGCCCUCCUUUUUGGGAUAAGCCUUGGAAACGGGGUCUAAUACCCAAUCAAGGGGGAGGGGCUCGCGGCCUUUCAGCUGGUUGGGGGGGUUAUGGCCUACCAAGGCGGUGACGGGUAGCCGGCCUGAGAGGGUGACCGGGCACAGUGGGACGGAGAUACGGCCCAGACUCCGAAGGGGUGGAGCAGUGGGGGAUAUGGGACAAUGGGCGAAAGCCUGAUGCAGCGACGCCGCGUGGGGGAUGAAGGCUUUCGGGUUGUAAACCUCUUUCGCUAGCGAACGGGUAGGUGGAGAAGAAGCGCCGGCUAACUACGUGCCAGCAGCCGCGGUAAUUC